AACGAACGCUGGCGGCAUGCCUAACACAUGCAAGUCGAACGAGGCCUUCGGGUCUAGUGGCGCACGGGUGCGUAACGCGUGGGAAUCUGCCCCUUGGUUCGGAAUAACUUCGGGAAACUGAAGCUAAUACCGGAUAAUGACGUAAGUCCAAAGAUUUAUCGCCAAGGGAUGAGCCCGCGUAGGAUUAGCUAGUUGGUGGGGUAAAGGCUCACCAAGGCGACGAUCCUUAGCUGGUCUGAGAGGAUGAUCAGCCACACUGGGACUGAGACACGGCCCAGACUCCUACGGGAGGCAGCAGUGGGGAAUAUUGGACAAUGGGCGAAAGCCUGAUCCAGCAAUGCCGCGUGGGUGAUGAAGGCCUUAGGGUUGUAAAGCUCUUUUACCCGGGAAGAUAAUGACUGUACCGGGAGAAUAAGCCCCGGCUAACUCCGUGCCAGCAGCCGCGGUAAU
rnacentral:rRNA from 1 species